UCAGAGUUUUGUCCUGGCUCAGAACGAACGCUAUCGGUAUGCUUAACACAUGCAAGUCGGACGGACUAAUUGGGGCUUGCUCCAAUUAGUUAGUGGCAGACGGGUGAGUAACACGUGGGAAUCUGCCCAUCAGUACGGAAUAACUUUUAGAAAUAAAAGCUAAUACCGUAUAUUCUCUACAGAGGAAAGAUUUAUCGCUGAUGGAUGAGCCCGCGUCAGAUUAGGUAGUUGGUGAGGUAACGGCUCACCAAGCCGACGAUCUGUAGCUGGUCUGAGAGGAUGAUCAGCCACACUGGGACUGAGACACGGCCCAGACUCCUACGGGAGGCAGCAGUGGGGAAUAUUGGACAAUGGGCGAAAGCCUGAUCCAGCAAUACCGAGUGAGUGAUGAAGGCCCUAGGGUUGUAAAGCUCUUUUAGCAAGGAAGAUAAUGACGUUACUUACAGAAGAAGUCCCGGCAAACUCAAG
rnacentral:rRNA from 1 species